rnacentral:rRNA from 1 species
GAUGAACGCUGGCGGCGUGCCUAAUACAUGCAAGUCGAGCGAACAGAUAAGGAGCUUGCUCCUUUGACGUUAGCGGCGGACGGGUGAGUAACACGUGGGUAACCUACCUAUAAGACUGGAAUAACUCCGGGAAACCGGGGCUAAUGCCGGAUAACAUGUUGAACGGCAUGGUUCUACAGUGAAAGGCGGCUUUGCUGUCACUUAUAGAUGGACCCGCGCCGUAUUAGCUAGUUGGUGAGGUAACGGCUCACCAAGGCAACGAUACGUAGCCGACCUGAGAGGGCGAUCGGCCACACUGGAACUGAGACACGGUCCAGACUCCUACGGGAGGCAGCAGUAGGGAAUCUUGCGCAAUGGGCGAAAGCCUGACGGAGCAACGCCGCGUGAGUGAUGAAGGUCUUCGGAUCGUAAAACUCUGUUAUUAGGGAAGAACAAAUGCGUAAGUAACUGUGCGCGUCUUGACGGUACCUAAUCAGAAAGCCACGGCUAACUUCGUG